UAUUAAAACAAAAGAUUUCCUAUAUUACAAUUUAUUUACAUUUGCAUACUGAAGAGGUAAAGUGUCUAAGUGGCUAUUUUACAGUCCUUUCUAAUAAAAUGUACAAAAACAAACAGAAGUACCGAGAAUGCCGUUCGGGGGCCUUUAUGGCGACGUAAGAACGGGCUUGGACUUGGUCUGUGAAUCCAGAAUCCAGAGGUGCAGGUAGCACUAUGGAUCAGGGUUAGCCUCGGGGGGCCAAAAACACGGCUUCAGUUUCUCCCCAACUCUCACUUAGUGUUAAGAGUGGCAGAGGUGGGUGUGGGAGCUUCCCAAAGACCUGCUCCAUCUUCCCCAGAGGUGGAAGAGUUGGACUGUGUGUGGGGUAAGGGCAGAAGGGCCAACUGGGGAGUGGGCUAGUGGCUUGGGAGUGGACGUGUGUUGGCAGAUCCCAGAGGCUACUUGUGACUCUGGGAAGAGGAGUCUAAGUUCCAUCAUUACCUAUAAACCGCCAAGGUUCUGCUGCAGGGCGGAUAGGUGGGAGGUCAGCAGGGGUAAAGACGGUCCCCCCAAUGACACAAUGGUAUUUAAACGAAAUUAGUGGCCAGUAAAUUGGCCCAAAGGUUAGGGGAAGAUCUCCUUUAAUGCAAGGAAAGAAGCAAUAAUCAGUCAAAUAAAUAGAAGGGCCAGGAGCACUGGGGAGCCUGAGGGCAGGGACAGGGCUCUCCCUCCUCCACAAGCUUUGGCAGAGAACUGCUGGGUUGGAGGCAGAGAUGCUCUAAGGCUACAUACACAAUACACCUCCCCUGGGGACAGGAAGGGGGCUCAGAAUGAAUGCAGUGAUUUGAGGUCUCACCUGGGGUUCUAAACCCCAGGUCUCAUCACCCGCCCCUGGUCUCUUUGUGGAGGGGGUUGUGGGGGUUCCUCUUUCUUCAGUGAUCUUAUAUAAGAACAAUAAUUCUAGGCUCAAAAGGGUCGUAGAACCAAUUAUGAAACCUUCUGGUCUCAAAACAGGCAUCUACUUACUUGAAUCAGCUCUUUUUACAGUGCUCCAGGAGUAGGACCCAAGCAUGUCUUGUCCACAGAUGUAUUCCCAGCACCUGGCACCCAGCAGGCACUUCACCCACAUUUGUUGAAUAAAUGCCUGGAGAGGGUACAACCAGCUGGACAGUGCAAGAAAGGGCCCUAGAGCAAAAACCACUCAAGGAAUUGGGGGUGGGGACAAAAUACGAGAGAGACUGAGCCUCAGGGCAAAGAGGAACUCUCACUGCUGAGUGGGAACAGGCUCAGGUGCAAGGACAAACAUUUCCAGUGUGAUUGAGCUAUGUGCGUUCAAUUGGAUAAUUUUUUUUUUUAGGGAUUUCUUUAAAAACAAAUAGAUUGAGAGGUAAUCACAGAGAUGGUUUUCCUUUUACAAAAACUUAAUAUUUAACAACAUUAAAAAAAGUUAAAAUCCAAACCCUCCCAAUAAAAUUAAAAAAA
rnacentral:lncRNA from 10 species